rnacentral:rRNA from 1 species
UACAGAGGGUGCGAGCGUUAAUCGGAAUUACUGGGCGUAAAGCGCGCGUAGGCGGCUUUGCAAGUCGGGUGUGAAAUCCCCAGGCUUAACCUGGGAACUGCAUUCGAGACUGCAUUGCUAGAGUAUGGGAGAGGCAAGUGGAAUUUCCGGUGUAGCGGUGAAAUGCGUAGAUAUCGGAAGAAACAUCAGUGGCGAAAGCGACUUCCUGGACCAAUACUGACGCUCAUGUGCGAAAGCGUGGGGAGCAAACAGG